AUUCCUGUGUAUACAGUCCAUCCAUGCAGAUAACAUGCUUCCGGACACUGUUGUGCCGUCUGAGGAUACAGCAGCCUUUGAGGAGUAGAACAUGUUCCUAUGGCUUCACCCCUGUCAAUCUGUCGGACCCUGUCCAGCAGCAUGUGACUCCACCUAGAACUCUAUUCUGUCUAUAUGUUCAUCAUAGGACCUGUCACUCAAACACACACUCCAAACAGCAUGAAGACUAUCAGAGGAGACAGGAAGCGAGAUGUUUCGUAGUGUGUCACCAUGUUUCAGCACCGGUGUUGUGUCACUAUCAGCUAUCAUUGGUCAUUCCACCUCCACCAGACAGUGGGGUGUCAGUAUACAGAGGAGGCUCUAUUCAACGGACCCUAUUAAGUCAGUGAUUAAACCAGUGACCAUGCCUGGAAGUGGGAAGAAACUUCCUAAAGGCCCUAGGACCAAACAACCAUCCAGAACCAAUCAGCCGACCCCAAAGGAGGACAAGGUGAUGCCGUCCUCCAAUCAGAUUAGAGGCCUGGGAGAUGCCUAGGAUAUGCAUAGGAUAUUAUGCAGUGCAUUGCUUUUGCAACAGCAGACUAGUACCAUUUGCCAACACUCUGCCAUGACCUCAUAGCCCAUGGCUUCUACGAAAUAGAUUUACCAAGAGAUGCCUCAAAUGUACUCGUAAUAUGCACUGACAACGCCCAAAAACCCAGUGACAAUGCAACAAUGUUCUUCUUCAGGGAGGGAUCGGUGGUCUUUUGGAACGUUGAAGAGAAAACAGUAAGAAGGAUUCCGAUCCUAUUGCACAUGAAGAAAGUGAUGAGGAUCUUGGAGCAGCAUGAGAUUCAGCCCUACGAGGUAGCUCUGGUCCACUGGGAAAAUGAAGAGAUCCACUACACUAUUGGAGAGUACCUCACCUGAUAUGGGGAAACUCAAAAGUUACAACAUGGUAACUUCCUGCUGAAUAAUGAGACAUAUCCUGACGAGGCCGUGCUGGAUAAAUUAGCAUUCUCAAAUGCCCUUUCUUUGUCAGGUUAGC